CAGCAGCAUUAAUAACAGCAGCAGCAGCAGUAACAGGAACAGCAGCAGCAGUAACAGUAGAGAGGAGGAGUGACAGGAGGUGGGUGGGAUCUACAAUAGAAAGUGCAUGUCAGUGAACGCCUCUCAGCCACUUCAGUAUGAAUGGUGGAGCUGCAGGAUCACUGAACUGCUGAGAGAGUUACUGAAGACAGAAAGUCACUACAGAGAGACAGACAGAGGACAGAGACACAGACAGAGGACAGUCUGCUGCGUUCAGGAUGGGUUUAUUCCGCAGUGCACGUCUGAAAGUGAAAGAAGUGCGCGUGAAGCUUGUGUCAGAGUUGGAGCCUCGCAAAAUGUUACCGAGCUGAAACAGAAAGAGAAGAGUCCUGCGAGGAAGAGGAGGAGGAAGAGGUGAUGAAGAGGAGUAUUUAUACACCACACGUUCCAUUGUGGAUGGAUGUGGAUGGAUGUGGAGCCGGUGUCACCUCCUCCACCUGGAGCUCUGCAGGCUUCUAUCGCCACCCGGUGGUGAAGCUCAGACGUGACGUUCAGUGGAGGAUCCUCAUCUGCUGCAGUGCUUUUCUAGUCUUCUGACCACUCAAAGCUGUGGUUGCCGGGGAUCGAACCGCCGAUUGGUGGACGAUCCGCUCUACCCUCUGAACCCCUGAAAAUGAAAAGUUAAACUAAGAAAGUUCUCAAAGUGACCGGAGCAUAAUGCGUUCAGUUUUUCUGAAUGAAUGAGAAGCUCUCAUUUAGUUGAGAGCUUGAUUUCCUGGAAGGGAACACAUCCCGCCUGUUCACUUUAAUCCAGCCCUGAGAACCUUCUGAAGAGGGACGUCUGAGGAACAGCUGACUGAUCGUCCCUUUAGAGCCGGCCUGAUGCAUCGUGUUAUAUCUGUGAAGUCAUAUCGGUUCAACUGAUCCUGGAGAAACAUCUCAAUGUCCAGCUGAUCAGACCAGUAACAAUAAGACCUUAGUAUGUCCUCAUGUCUCAACCCAAACAGGACCAACAGUAUUAACCUGAACAGGCAGGACAUGUUCUGGUUUAAAGGUCUCUCGUUAAAAACAAUCUGAUUUUAGUUCUGUUUUUCAUGAAAAAGGUCUCAUAAUUCUUAGAAUAAAAACAGGGCUUUUCCUCCAUAAGAGUAUUUUCCACACAGAGAUGUUGACAUGACGUCCCUGAAGAGACAGAACUGCUCCUUAAGACACCGACGCUGCAGUUAUAUUCAUUCUGCACAUAUUUAAUACAUGCAUCUACACCAAGUUAAAGGUGGUAUUCACAUGCUCUAUAUUACUGAGAACAUCUCACUGAGUACUAAACAUCUUAAAGGAGAUUAAAUACUCAGCAGACCGGAGACAGAUGUGACCUUGUUGACUUCCGUGUGGUCUCAGUGUGGUCUCAGUGUGGUGCUGGUUGUCUCCAGUAGAGGACAGUGUUUCCUCAUCAUCAUCCUCAGCUGAGUGUCUGUGUGAUGGAGUUCAGGCUCAGAGAGUCUGUUUCCUCCAGAUCUCCAUCAGUAGAGUCUUUAAACCUCCGUCGUCUCCAGAGGGGGAACGUUUGAACGUUUGAAGCCCCGCCGCCCUGAGGAAUGGGAGGUAUUGAUUGGUUGGCGGGUGUCAGCUGGAGGUAUUGAUUGAUUGAUUGGUGAACUUAAAGACAACAAUGAGGCAGAGCAGUGAGAAGCAGGCAGGGUUCGGUUCACACAGUAGAUGAGCUCAGUGGAGACAGACACAGCUGUGGCUGUGUGUGUGUGUGUGUGUGUGUGUGUGUGUGUGUGUGUGUGUGUGUCUGUAUAUAGUGUGUAUUGAUUGAGCUGUGAGUUGAUGUUAUCGGUGUUUGUGGGGCAGCUGCACCGUUUCAGACCACAACUACAGAACCAAUCACUCUCUCUGUUUGUUGCUGGCUCCUUAAUAUUAUUACACGGCUUUGUUGAAUACUUGAUUCUGAU